UGGUUUUUAGCUCAACGGUUCGAAACUUUGGACUACAGAUCAGAAGGUAAUGGGUUCAAGCCCCAGCACAGCCAA